rnacentral:rRNA from 1 species
AGUGAACGCUGGCGGUAGGCCUAACACAUGCAAGUCGAACGGCAGCACAGUAAUAGCUUGCUCUUACGGGUGGCGAGUGGCGGACGGGUGAGGAAUACAUCGGAAUCUACUUUUUCGUGGGGGAUAACGUAGGGAAACUUACGCUAAUACCGCAUACGACCUACGGGUGAAAGCAGGGGAUCUUCGGACCUUGCGCGAUUGAAUGAGCCGAUGUCGGAUUAGCUAGUUGGCGGGGUAAAGGCCCACCACGGCGACGAUCCGUAGCUGGUCUGAGAGGAUGAUCAGCCACACUGGAACUGAGACACGGUCCAGACUCCUACGGGAGGCAGCAGUGGGGAAUAUUGGACAAUGGGCGCAAGCCUGAUCCAGCCAUACCGAGUGGGUGAAGAAGGCCUUCGGGUUGUAAAGCCCUUUUGUUGGGAAAGAAAAGCAGCAGGUUAAUACCCCGCUGUUCUGACGGUACCCAAAGAAUAAGCACCGGCUAACUUCGUG